CAGGUAUAUUGGGAAGUUUCCUGGGUCUCUGGAUACUUCCAUUCAAAGGCAAAAAUGUAGGAGAAUUUGGGAUGCAAUGGGACACAAAAGUAAGUGUCCUCUAGAUCCAGCACCAUGUAGAACUGAGUGCGCCUAGGGAUCUGAGAGAGGAGUGUGGAUAGAUUGGGAACUAUAGGAUGACUGGGAACAACUGAGUCAUUCACUGCCCUAACCCAUUCACUCCUAAAAGGAGUACCCUAAACCAGUACUCCCCUUUUGGUUUCUCCACAGGCAAGAUUGGGGUAUUACAAGGUGACUGGCAGGGCUGAAUAGGCCUGUGCUAUAGGAAUUUUUCCAGGAGGAGCUGUAUUCCCUGUAGGUCUUCUGUCCUCAAAGGGUAUUGGGGCUUGCAUGGGUAGGGUACACUUGGCUUAAGUUUUAUCUUAAUAGGCUCUGCAAUGAUGGCUUGUCUUAGAGUACUGGCAUCCCAUAUAAACUUUGCCACUUGACAUACUAUCUCUUCCAGGACAGGAGGUAGCUUCUGACCUUUGGGAGCCAAAAGGGCCAGUAAAUGGAUUCUCUUCUCGGAGGCCUCCGCUAUCCACGUCACCUGAGGUGUCUUGG
rnacentral:lncRNA from 1 species